rnacentral:rRNA from 1 species
UACAGAGGUCUCAACCGUUGUUCGGAUUCACUGGGUUUAAAGGGCUCGUAGGCGGUCUGUCGCGUCGAAAGUGAAAACUCAGGGCUUAACCCUGAGCCUGCUUCCGAUACGGGCAGACUAGAGGUAUGCAGGGGAGAACGGAAUUCCUGGUGUAGCGGUGGAAUGCGCAGAUAUCAGGAGGAACACCGGUGGCGAAGGCGGUUCUCUGGGCAUUACCUGACGCUGAGGAGCGAAGGUGUGGGGAGCGAACAGG